UUUUAAAAAAGUCAAUUUUACAUAAAAUCUCUCCACCUUAAGAGAAAAAUACUAAGAAUAACACGUUUCUGAAAUAAUUCUCUAUGUCGACAAUUUACAUUAGAUAUCAGUUGUUCAAGUUGCUAAAAGACCAAUUUGUCUCUAAACCUUUGAGAUGUAUUACAUGAAAAAGAACCUACAAUUUAACCACCUAAUAAUAUUUUAUGAGUAUAGCUCAUGUAAUUUAUUACAAUUAACGUUCAUUUUUUUAGGGUAGGAGUCUGUUUGACUGCUGAAAGUCACUGCCAGGAGAUAAGGUCAUAAUUAUGCUGAUUGUUAUUAAAAACUUGACAGACAUGACACAAAGUUUGAAAAGCCAUUUUAAAAAUUCUUCAAUAGUAGUAACAUCGCUGAUUAAUGAAUACAAUAAAAUGUAAUAAAUGCUGUUUGAUAUUCAUGUGAUUCUUUUUAAAGAAUUGCCUUGACUGAACCCCUUCAACAUGAUCUCCAGAAGAUAAGUAAAUCUAUUGGCCAAGCGGAGAAGGAACUCCAAUCACUUGAAGAAAGGGUGAACGAAGAAUUUGAAAAAGCAAGG